AGUAGUCAUAUGCUUGUCUCAAAGAUUAAGCCAUGCAUGUCUAAGUACAAGCCAGUCUAAGGUGAAACCGCGAAUGGCUCAUUAAAUCACACCUGAUGUACCGGACGUUUCCACUUACUUGGAUAACUGCGGUAAUUCUGGAGCUAAUACAUGCCUAAAAGCCCCGACUCACGGAAGGGCGCAUUUAUUAGAUCAAAACCAAACGGCUUGCCGUUAAAUUGGUGAUUCUGAAUAACUUGCUGAUGAUUAUGGCUCAACGCCGAUCACAUGUCCGUCCAAGGUGUGCCCUAUCAACUGUCGACUGUGGCAUAGACGCCCACAGUGGUUUUGACGGGUAACGGGGAAUUAGGGUUCGAUUCCGGAGAGGGAGCCUGAGAAACGGCUACCACUUCUAAGGAAGGCAGCAGGCACGCAAAUUACCCAAUGGUCGAAGACCGAGGUAGUGACGAAAAAUAACGAUACCGGUCUCUUCCGAGGCCCGGUAAUCGGAAUGAUUACAGUUUAAAAUAUUUAAAGAGGAACAAUUGGAGGGCAAGUCUGGUGCCAGCAGCCGCGGUAAUUCCAGCUCCAAUAGCGUAUAUUAAAGUUGUUGCGGUUAAAAAGCUCGUAGUUGGAUCUCGGCGAGUAGGGGGCGGUUCGUUGUUUGACGGUACUGCCCCAUUUACUCGUGUUUUUGACAGAGGGUUGGAGGUCCCCUUCAUUGGGUGUCUUCGGUCACUGUCAGGUUUACUUUGAAAAAAUUAGAGUGCUCAAAGCAGACGUUAUUCGUCUGAAUAUUCGUGCAUGGAAUAAUAGAAUAGGAUGAGUCUCCUAUUUUGUUGGUUUUCGGGAAGAUUCAUAAUGAUUAAUAGGGACAAUCGGGGGCAUUAGUAUUCAAACGACAGAGGUGAAAUUCUUGGACCGUUUGAAGACUAACUACUGCGAAAGCAUUUGCCAAGAGUGUUUUCAUUAAUCAAGAACGAAAGUUAGAGGUUCGAAGGCGAUCAGAUACCGCCCUAGUUCUAACCAUAAACGAUGCCAGCUAGCGAUCUGCGGGUGUGUAAUUCCAAGACCCCGCAGGGAGCUUCCGGGAAACCAAAGCUUGUGGGUUCCGGGGGAAGUAUGGUUGCAAAGCUGAAACUUAAAGGAAUUGACGGAAGGGCACCACCAGGAGUGGAGCCUGCGGCUUAAUUUGACUCAACACGGGAAAUCUCACCAGGCCCGGACACCGGAAGGAUUGACAGAUUGAGAGCUCUUUCUCGAUUCGGUGGGUGGUGGUGCAUGGCCGUUCUUAGUUGGUGGAGUGAUUUGUCUGGUUAAUUCCGAUAACGAACGAGACUCUGUCCUGCUAACUAGAGCUCUGAUUCUUAUGUCAGAGCGUCUUCUUAGAGGGACUGGCGGAUCUAAGCCGCACGAGAUUGAGCAAUAACAGGUCUGUGAUGCCCUUAGAUGUUCUGGGCUGCACACGCGCUACACUGAAGGGAUCAGCGUGCCUUCCCUUUCCGACAGGAACGGGUAACCCGCUGAACCCCCUUCGUGGUAGGGAUUGGAGCUUGCAAUUAUUCUCCAUGAACCAGGAAUUCCCAGUAAGCGCAAGUCAUAAGCUUGCGUUGAUUACGUCCCUGCCCUUUGUACACACCGCCCGUCGCUACUACCGAUUGAACGUUUUAGUGAGACAUUUGGACUGGGUCAGUGUAGGCUUUUAUGUUUACGUUGUCUCCGGAAAGACUUUCAAACUUGAGCGUUUAGAGGAAGUAAAAGUCGUAACAAGG
rnacentral:rRNA from 1 species